rnacentral:rRNA from 1 species
GACGAACGCUGGCGGCGUGCUUAACACAUGCAAGUCGAACGGAAAGGCCCCUUUCGGGGGGUACUCGAGUGGCGAACGGGUGAGUAACACGCGAGUAUCCUGCCCUUGACAUUGGGAUAAAUUCAGGAAACUGGGGCUAAUACCGGAUAGGAGCUCCUGCUGCAUGGUGGGGGUUGGAAAGUUUCGGCGGUUGGGGGUGGACUCGCGGCUUAUCAGCUUGUUGGUGGGGUAGUGGCUUACCAAGGCUUUGACGGGUAGCCGGCCUGAGAGGGUGACCGGCCACAUUGGGACUGGGAUACGGCCCAGACUCCUACGGGAGGCAGCAGUGGGGAAUAUUGCACAAUGGGUGGAAGCCUGAUGCAGCAACGCCGUGUGCGGGAUGACGGCCUUCGGGUUGUAAACCGCUUUCGCUCAUGACGAAGCUUUGUGUGACGGUAGUGGGUAAAGAAGCACCGGCUAACUACGUG